CUUUCUGGAGACUGCAAAGUCCAAGACUAAGAUGUCAAAUUCUGUGUGUGGGCACACGAAGUUCUCAACUGUGAAGGUGCCAGAAGUUCUCUGGAUUCAAAGUGUGUCUAUCCAGAUGGACAGAUUGAGGAGCCAGACUCUUCAUUGCUCUCUCUGCUCUAAAAACUCUCAGCAUUUCAUUUGAACACAUCAAAGCAGCCUGGGAUUAAAGACAAAAUGAGCUUGACACUACAAAAAUGGUGCCAGCUUGGACUUCAUGACAUUUCAGCCUUGAGAAGGCUGGUCUUAG
ensembl:lncRNA